rnacentral:rRNA from 1 species
UACGUAGGGGGCAAGCGUUGUCCGGAUUUAUUGGGCGUAAAGAGCGUGUAGGCGGCCAGGUAGGUCAGCUGUGAAAACUCGAGGCUUAACCUCGAGACGCCGGCUGAAACCCUCUGGCUAGAGUCCGGAAGAGGAGAGCGGAAUUCCUGGUGUAGCGGUGAAAUGCGCAGAUAUCAGGAGGAACACCAAUGGCGAAGGCAGCUCGCUGGAACGGAACUGACGCUGAGGCGCGAAAGCGUGGGGAGCGAACAGG